UUUGACAGUGCCCUGCAUCAGAGCACGAGACAGAAGUGAGGCCGCCCUCAGGCUGAAUGAGGGGCCAGGCAUGGCCUAGGGGAAGGCGGGGCUCAGGAAGGACACUAGAGCAGGGAGGGGUCAAAAGGCUUCUGGGAGGAGGAAAAAGAGCUUCUUCCGGGCCACGCAGGAGUCUGCAGCUCAAACAAGGCACAUGAACAGGAGGGCAAAGAGCAGUGGAAGCAGAGGGGACCAAAAGGAGACUUGCCAAGACACUGUUUUCGGUGCUCAAAUUAGGAUGACACCAGGGAAAAGCACCUCUUUCACGGCAAACCAUAAAACGAAUUUAUCCAACUCCAGAGAAUCAGUGAAACUUCUGCUUAAAAUUGCAAUGUGAAGAUACGACGCCUAGUCUCUUAAAAAGAAAAUUCAGACUGAAGAGCCAGGUGGAUCAAAGUACAAUGGGAAAAGGAAGGCUUGCAAGCUACUAUGUGCAACAGGCAGUAGGAAAUACAUGAAGAGUGGUGAAUGUACUGAGGAAAAACGGAGAGAGAGCGCCCAAUGUCAACAGCAGAGCAGGACGAAGACAUCCAUAUUGUGGAGCCUCUGAAGACAAUGACAAGGGUAGGCUGGCCAUGUCUUGUACUGGACAGGCCAGACCGUUUACUCCCGCUCUUGAAAAUGUGGCAUCUUAUUUUCUUAUUUGCAAUCUAGCUUAUAAAAUAAAGCCUGCUUCAGAACUUAACGUGCCUGUUGAUUC